UCCCAAUGAAGAAAUCCUAUCACGUCUUACCUUCUGUCUCGGCGCCAGAACCUGCAAAGGUUGAACCCACUGGGGCCGGCAGAGGGAGAAGAGGACGCUGUGCUCCGGACGGAGCUGUCUGACGGGAC
rnacentral:snoRNA from 1 species